GGGCGUGCGCGGCUUACCAUGCAGUCGAGCGGGGGAAGGUAGCUUGCUACUGGACCUAGCGGCGGACGGGUGAGUAAUGCUUAGGAAUCUGCCUAUUAGUGGGGGACAACAUCUCGAAAGGGAUGCUAAUACCGCAUACGUCCUACGGGAGAAAGCAGGGGAUCUUCGGACCUUGCGCUAAUAGAUGAGCCUAAGUCGGAUUAGCUAGUUGGUGGGGUAAAGGCCUACCAAGGCGACGAUCUGUAGCGGGUCUGAGAGGAUGAUCCGCCACACUGGGACUGAGACACGGCCCAGACUCCUACGGGAGGCAGCAGUGGGGAAUAUUGGACAAUGGGGGGAACCCUGAUCCAGCCAUGCCGCGUGUGUGAAGAAGGCCUUAUGGUUGUAAAGCACUUUAAGCGAGGAGGAGGCUACUCUAGUUAAUACCUAGGGAUAGUGGACGUUACUCGCAGAAUAAGCACCGGCUAACUCUGUGCCAGCAGCCGCGGUAAUACAGAGGGUGCGAGCGUUAAUCGGAUUUACUGGGCGUAAAGCGUGCGUAGGCGGCUUAUUAAGUCGGAUGUGAAAUCCCCGAGCUUAACUUGGGAAUUGCAUUCGAUACUGGUGAGCUAGAGUAUGGGAGAGGAUGGUAGAAUUCCAGGUGUAGCGGUGAAAUGCGUAGAGAUCUGGAGGAAUACCGAUGGCGAAGGCAGCCAUCUGGCCUAAUACUGACGCUGAGGUACGAAAGCAUGGGGAGCAAACAGGAUUAGAUACCCUGGUAGUCCAUGCCGUAAACGAUGUCUACUAGCCGUUGGGGCCUUUGAGGCUUUAGUGGCGCAGCUAACGCGAUAAGUAGACCGCCUGGGGAGUACGGUCGCAAGACUAAAACUCAAAUGAAUUGACGGGGCCCGCACAAGCGGUGGAGCAUGUGGUUUAAUUCGAUGCAACGCGAAGAACCUUACCUGGGCUUGACAUA
rnacentral:rRNA from 1 species